rnacentral:miRNA from 1 species
GGAGAAUUGCUUGAGCCUGGGAGGUGGAGGUUGCAGUGAGCUGAGAUCACGCCACUGCACUCCAGCCUGGGCAACAGAGU